rnacentral:RNase_P_RNA from 1 species
AUGGGUCGACGGGCGGUCGCGUCAUGUGGUGCGUGCAUCAUAUGCCGAGGAAAGUCCGGGCUCCGCAGGGAAGAACGGUGGAUAACGUCCACUCGGGGCAACCCGCGAGAAAGUGCAACAGAGAGUAGACCGCCAGGGCUGGUUCGCCAGCUCGGGUAAGGGUGAAAAGGUGGUGUAAGAGACCACCGGCGCCUGUGGUGACAUGGGCGGCCAGGUAAACCUCGUUCGGAGCAAGGCCAGAUAGUAGGCGAUGAGGCGUCCCGCUGAGUCUACGGGUAGGCUGCUAGAGCCGGUCGGCAACGGCCGGUCGAGAGAGAUGACCGUCACCGUGUUUCGGCGCGGUACAGGACCCGGCUUAUAGUCGGCCCAUUCCU